rnacentral:rRNA from 2 species
UACAGAGGGUGCAAGCGUUAAUCGGAUUUAUUGGGCGUAAAGCGCACGUAGGUGGAUAUUUAAGUCGGAUGUGAAAUCCCUGGGCUUAACUCAGGAAUUGCAUUCGAUACUGAAUUUCUAGAGUAUGGCAGAGGGAGGUGGAAUUUCCGGUGUAGCGGUGAAAUGCGUAGAUAUCGGAAGGAACAUCAGUGGCGAAGGCGACCUCCUGGGCCAAUACUGACACUUAGGUGCGAAAGCGUGGGGAGCAAACAGG